AAUUUCAGUCCGAGCAUGGUGGGUCAGAUGUACAAGUGCACCUGAAUGUUGAACAUCAUUAUGAAGCAGAUGUAAUUCCCCACAUGUCAAGGUCACCUAGGGUAAAGUACAUAACCUAUUAUGAAGACUCUAACAGUCUUCCUGGAAAGAGAACAGCAGUUUGGGAGCUUGACAAGGCAAAUCACAGGUACAUUGUUAGAUCUCCAGUUCUAAUGCGGGAAUUGUGGCUUGAGAUGUGGCAUGAUAGCCAUCCUGAUUCAAAAUCAAAAUUUGUUACAAAAGCUAAGCGUGGACCUUUGAGGGAAGAUGACUAUUAUUGGGAUUAUGGAAAAGCUCGCUGUGCAUGGUCUGAGCAUUGUGAAUAUAGGUAUUUUUCUUACAUGUUUUUUAAUUAUUUUUUCGAAUAUUGUGGUCAUCAGUUUCCCUUAUUGCAUGAUGUACAGAUACAUUUUUGGAGAUGUUCACCUUGGGCAGAGCUAUAGAUUGAGGAAUUGUUCAGCUGAUCUCCUCUUGCAUUACUUAUAAAAUACGAGGACUCUUCAGAUGUUUCUUCAAGAGCUGGCAUCUCACCACCAUUUUGUUUCCAUAGUUGCAGACAUGCUGCAUAGUGCCAAUUGGAGGCACAUGUGACGAAUUGUAAAGAUCCUCACUUCUGAAAGUAAAUGGGGAUGAUGUGCUUUGAAGUAUUCACUCUACAUGUAAGCAGGUGACGUUUUGCAAAAAUUGCAGGUUGCGGAAAAUGUUAAAGGU